UAGUUAAAAAAGUACAUUUCUGGUGCUCUUGUCUUUGAGCUAAUGAAAGUCCACUGCACUUCAGCUUUUCAUCUCUGUUAUUUUUGUUACAGAUCUUUCCCUAAUAGGAAUAUCCUCAAUAAAGGAUGCAGUACGCCAUGUUAUGCGGCAUUGCAUGGAUGAAGCUGUAGCCAUAUGGUGCUGUAUGACAGAGACGAAAGGGAAAGCCCCAUUUGCAAACCUUAAACUGGCCGUAGUCAUACUUGGGAUGUGGUGACUGUCCUGCAUUUCAUUCUCCUCUACAUUUGUGGCCUUUGUGUAGAAUGAUUGUUAAGGAUACACACUGCUGCUCGUUCACAUACCAGGUUCUACCCUGUAACAAGUGAAGGCCUGAACAUCCUACUAUAUAGUAAAUUAGUUUACUAACAGAAGUUAACUAGCAGUUAUAUCAUAGUCAGCUUAAAAAGCAUAUAACCAUUAGCCUGUCACAUAUAUAUUUUUUAUAGGUGCACUUCGAAAGGUGUUCCCAACGGCAACCGAGGUAGUAGCAACACUCCUGGUGGGAGACUGGCUGAGACCUUUUCUACACGAAUUAAAGUCGGCAACUCGAUGCAAACUACGCUGCAUAAGUUGUAGGCUGCCAGGACUGCAAAACUGCUGAGCAGGAUAUUAUCGUGGCAAGUGCAGACGUCGCUAUCGAAGUAAUAAUGUUAUGCAUAUGUGUUUCAUAAGUGACUUCCUGCUUUAAUACGCUGCGUGGAAUAAAAAUGAUAGGCCUGCA